UACGUAGGGUGCGAGCGUUAAUCGGAAUUACUGGGCGUAAAGCGUGCGCAGGCGGUUCGUGAUGUCUGGUGUGAAAGCCCCGGGCUUAACCUGGGAAUUGCAUUGGAAACUAGCGGGCUGGAGUGUGGCAGAGGGGGGUGGAAUUCCACGUGUAGCAGUGAAAUGCGUAGAGAUGUGGAGGAACACCGAUGGCGAAGGCAGCCCCCUGGGCUAACACUGACGCUCAUGCACGAAAGCGCGGGGAGCGAACAGG
rnacentral:rRNA from 1 species